AUGGACUACAGCAGUAUGUACACACGGAGAGGACUACAGCAGUAUGUACACAGAGAGGACUACAGCAGUAUAUACACAUGGAGAGGACUACAGCAGUAUAUACACAUGGAGAGGACUACAGCAGUAUGUACACACGGAGAGGACUACAGCAGUAUGUACACACGGAGAGGACUACAGCAGUAUAUACACACGGAGAGGACUACAGCAGUAUAUACACACGGAGAGGACUACAGCAGUAUGCACACAUGGAGAGGACCACUGCAGUAUGUAUAUGAAGCACACAUAAACAACACAACACACCCAUGGAUAACAAGACAAAACAAAGAUGGAGGACAGACGGGGUCACACUCAGCCAGCAGAGAUUAUACUUCCCGAAGACAGUCAGUCAAUCUGUUUUUACUGUGAAACUGGGUGGAGGUGAAUCCAUAUUAAACAGUGGUAGGGUUCAGCCAGACUGCUGGGUGGAGGUGAAUCCAUAUUAAACAG
rnacentral:lncRNA from 13 species